CCUUCCCCUAAUGUGGACAUGUACACAUGGGCCGGUGUGUGCCUCCCCCUCCCCAUUAUCACUUCAUUACAUCUCCCUCCUCCUCCUGCCUCACUCCCUGCUGACGUCCUCCGCCCUCCUCCUCCUCCCCCUCCCCGCUGCUUGCGCUCCCCGCCCUGCCAGGCUCUGGUAUCAGCGCCCCGGGCUCCAACACCCCCAGCGGGCAGAGAGAGUCUGGGAGGAGGGAUAUGCUUCCAAUCAGUGGCACACAGCCUGACUCACACCAUGACAAGCAUUAGGCCUCACAGCUACCUCUCCUGCGCAGGCUACAGACACACUAUAUGGCUGGGGAUUAUGGGUGUUCAUUCUCAGGAGCAGGAGAGAGAUUGAAAAGUUACAUGGAAAUAUAAUUCAACCUGUAUUUGUUUACAAUCAUGUCUAGUAAACGUGUUAAUCAUACAGUGUACUUGGGACUGCUUUAGAGAAAAAAGAAAACGAGCUCAACUAUUUGUCGGUGAGAAGUUACUCAAAGUUCGAUCACCAACUGAUGUAGAACUUCAACAAAUGUACUUUGUAUACAUGAUGAUUUUCUCGUGAAUGUUACGCAAAGUAUCAUGGGUGUUGUAGUUUUUAUUACAAUUGUAGAUCUAUCUCUUGGCCACAGCUUGGAAUUGACACUAUAUAACAGGACCUACUUUGGGAGACGGUGAAAAUAACUCUUAUGUAGAGUGGGGUGACCACAAGUUCGAUCACCAACAGCUCAUUUGAUGCACCCCUACAUUAGCAGUAGUAAAGCAUCUUGGGAGUUUCAGGUCUACAAAAGCUAUUCAUGUCAUUUUGACGACCCAUGAUGUAGGUGGAAAAGCAAGUGGCACCAGUUCAGGAACUGCUAUUUAAGCAAUCACUCCCUUGCAGGUGUACUGUAUCAAAAUAUUUACACAGUUCUUGUAUUUUUAUAGUGGCUAUCCUGGCAACACAUGAUCACGUGAUAUGAUGACACAUUUAGUAUCCAAUCCACAGAAGUCAUUAUAGAUAAGAGUUUUUUUUUGUAAUACAAUGGACUGGAGCAAAUGGAGACAGUGCCAGGGGCGUUUAUUGUCUCUAGCUGAGAAAACAAACGUUUGUGAGUAAUAACAUUCUGAUACCAUGUAUAAACUCAAAGCUGUGGGAAAGUACUGCCUCCCUGAUAUAGAUACAUAGAUGGAAAAAACAGAUCGUUGUAAUCUCUCCUUUUUGUAUUCAUAAUGUUUGUUUUCAGUGCCGUAUGCAAUGCCUAGUUCAGGUAUUUAGGAUUUACAUUUGAAAUUUACUUUUAAUUUCACAAUAUGGCCUUAAAAUGUGAUUUCAUCUCCGUAUUUUCAAAUUCCAGACUGGAAUCAAUCCAUACUACAAAUUAAUUAUGCAGAUAAUGUAUUAAAAUGAAGAAAACUAAAUUACCUUUUGCUUUUGAACGUUUAAGCAUUUGUUGCAAAGUCUCACAGGGGUUUAUUUACUAAAGUGAAUUACAACGUGAAUUUCAAACUUCAGGCCAAAAUAAAAUUCAGCUAUGAUUCGAGUCUGGCGACUUUGGUCUACAGUUUGAAAUUUACUUUGAAUUCUCACUUUACUGAAAAACCCUUUAAGUAUCAAAGAAGAGCUGAAAUUACCACUCUAACACUUGACCCAGCAGAAGUUAAUGGGAAAUGUAAUUCAGGACUUAGCGGCAAUUCCAUGUAUUAGAAGAGGUGGAUGGAAUGCCCUGGAGUUGCUAUCGGUUUCCUGACAAAUCAAUUCACCAUUUCAUGAAAUGGGUUUUAAGAUAUGAUUAUGUGAUCACGCUACCAACACGUGUGCAAGUAACACUCUUUAUAAGGAAACACCUAAAUGAUGUUGUUAUGGUGCCAGGAGGCUACUGGAAGCACUCUUACAUCACGGGUUUAAACCAUUGUCAAACGGCUUAACCCCUAGGUUGCCUUCAGCAGUGAUGUCCACUCCAACCAUGGCGACAUCCGGCUUCUGAAAUUUCAGAUUCAGGAAGCGCGGAGUGCUGCCAGUAUCAGGAUUACUAAUUGAUCCAGCACGUAGGAUUGUGUCACACCUAGGACUAAAAGGUAACGUAUUACCAGGCCUUAGAAUGGCCGGACUUAACGCACCAAAGAAUAGUCAGGAUACUUGCCGAGGUCAGGGGACACAGAAUGGGACACAACUAUAAGGGCAAAUCAGAAGUCAGUGAUGUCAAAAUACAGGUAAAGUCAAACGAAGCCAGUCAAUAACCAGAAAUAAGCACUCAGGAACACACUCUUGGACAACCACUAAGGGAAACCAUGACAGGGCAAUGAGGAAAAGUAGAAUUGCAUUUAAAUAAGCCCUUAACUUUGGCCGAAAUCGGCCUUUGACCCCAGAAUGUGCACGCGCGUCUCCCGUGUGAUGUCACACGCACGUCGACGUCUUCAUCAACGUUGGCGGACAUAGGGCUAUAAUUUGGUGUGGAUCCGCAGCAGCCAGCAUCCAUCAACAUGUUGCAUCAAUCAGCGAUGUCCGUGCCCAGCUGAAUCAGGAAAUUCAGAAGCCAGAGGCCUCCGGUGGGGGAGUGGACAUCACCGCUGUAGGCAACUUUGAGUUUGUUUUUGAGUUUUCUGGAGGGAUUAAACAUUUUUAUUACAUAUGCUCUGACUUCUUUCUAUUUUUUUUUUUAUAAACUUUGGCUCCUUCUGCAGCACCCCUUUUUAAUUUAGGAUAUAGAUCCCCUUUUUAGUUAUUAUUAUUAUUUAAAAAAUGCCAACAAAUUCUGCAGUGCUGUACAAUGGGUGUUUUGUAACCAGACGAGCUGGACACACAGGAACAGAGGGAUUGAGGGCCCUGCUCAAUUAGCUUACAUGCUAGAAGGAGUGGGGUAUAGUGACACAAAAGGUAAGGCAAGAGUAGAAAAGUAGGUUGCUAGGAUAGUAUUCACUGAGUGUUUGGUUUUGAUGACAGUUACAGGAGAGGAAUCAGGGUCCUGGGAGAAAAAGCUGUUCACAGUUUAAUUGAUAUGUUUUCCUGAAGAAGUAAGAUUUCAAAGAUUUUUUGAAAGAGUGGAGAUUGGAUAAAAGUUGAACAGAGAGGAGAUGGGUGUUAAAUAGGAACGGUGCAUGCCCUAGAGAAGUCUUUAAAGCGAGCAUCAGAGGUAUGAGUAUGAACAGAAGAUAUACAUAGGUCUUCGGCAGAGCAUAGGGGCUAGACGGGAUAUAUUGGUGUAUUAGUGAGGAUAGGAAGGUCUGAGCAGCAUUAUGUAGGGAUUUGUAAGCAAGUAGCAGGAUCUUAAAUUAUAAAAUAAAAUAAUUUCCCGGUAUUUGGAGGCAUGACAAAACUGCCUGGACUUACAGAUGGUUCACAACAUGUUUCAUUAGAAGCAUUUAAACUGUAGCAGAGUCUCAUGACAAAACACAGACUACAAUAGUGUAAGCCAAAUUCAGCACAUCAUCUCCUACACAUAGAGAUACAUAGUUCUCAACUAUAUUGGACAACUAUGACACUUGGUGGACUCAGAAUACUUUGUACGUAUAGUAUAUAUAAACUAAAUCACAAAAUAUUUCACAUAAAUUUGGUGUCUUUGAUUAGUUUGAGAGUGUAUAUAUAAAUAUAAAAUUAUAUUUUUGUGUGUAUUUCAACUCCUAUGUAUUUUGUAUAUUUUAUCGUUCAUUCUGUUUGCAAUCCUACAAAAAAAAUCAGACCCCUGAUGUCAUAGACUUCUUUACUGCAAGCGUGCCAGCGAGUUUGGUUCUGGGGGUUAAACAGGUUUUUUGUUUUUUUUUAAAUCACUAUUUGUCUGCACUAGACCAAAAAAAUGAUACAAUAUCCCUCUUAAAACCAUCCAACCUAACUCUUGUAUCAAAUGCUGCCACCACCAAUAUAGGUUGUAAAUGGGUUCCUUUUGUUAACCACCAAAUCAGAUUUUAGAAACACACAAACCACAGUUUAGCAAAAUAUAAAAAUACUAUUAAAUAAGUCUCUUUUAGUAACAUGAUUCUUUACCAAAGGCAGCAGUUAAUAAAGCAAUAUUUAUUAUGAACAAAAAUAGUAACAGUAAAUACAUAAAAUUAGAUGAUAAAUAGAUUAUUUAUACCAACAAUUACAAAUAAAAAGCAGCAAUUAACAGAAAAUUCUAGAUACUCACUUUGCUAAUACAGUCAUUAUAUCUUUAUUCUGGGGAAGAGUGGAGUGGGCAACUCAUCCAAAUAAGAUUUGACUCCCAGGCAAGUAUAUGGCUCAGUUGCAGUCCAUGGACUUUAUAUCCUAUACGGCAAUACACCAUCUCAAGUUUUCAAGCAGACCCCGAGGGAGGUACAUGGCGGAGGGUAAGCAUAACAGUUGCAACUGUAGGUUGAUUGCACCUUUUGGCUGAUUUACACAACCUGUCUGUGACUUAAUAUUGAGGAAUCCCCCAGUUCCACCAAGCAGUUUAAUGUACACAAGUUAUGUUUGGACUUCUUUUGUAGGAGUUUCUCUCAUUGUUCUGAAUAUGUAUAACAGGAGGCGUGAUUUUAUUAUUAUUGGUUUUUGGGUAUGACUCUUAGCAGAAAAUUGUUUCCUGACUGUUAAUUCUCAAUUAGCAUAUUGGAAGGUCAGGGGUCUGUUAAGCAAAAACAGCCAAAAUGUGUGCAGCGAGUUGGCCUAAGUCAAAAAUAAACAUGAAUGUCCUUUGGAUGCAAAUUUUCCCACCUCACAAUAAAGGGAUGCUUAGCAAAAAAGGGCCUUACCUACAACUCUUUUUCCUGCUAUGGUAACAGAAUCUUCUAGCUAAAUACUUCCAAGUAAACCCUUCCAAUGCUGUAAUCAGCCACGUGGCCUCUAUUAUGUAUUAAUGUCAUGUAUAAACUAUCAUAUUUAUUAAACGAUAUGUAUUAAACACUAUUUCUAAAGUGAAACAAUGAAUCGUGCUUACUGUGAAUGACAUCUGGGGUUUAUUCCAAACACAAAAGUGUCCAUCAGCCCAUGCGGCCUCCCACUGGCCCUCCACCCCAUCCAUGAAGGGUUUGAAAACCCCUUUUUACACUUACCUGAUUCCAGUGCUGAUGUUCCUGGGCACUAGGUCGAGCUCCUCCUCUGGCAACAUCAGUUAAUUGGGUAAACCUGAAGUAAGUGGGGCACACAUUAGGCCUUCCCCAUAGAAAAGCAUUGACUCGUAGCUUUCUUAUAGGAUUAAGAAGAUGCAGGUCAUCCUCAUGCUAAACAUGAGAACAUGGAAUGUCCAUCAUUGUUUCAUGGAAUUGAACUCCUCUAGAAGCAGUCUUAGUCCUGCAAGCUAAUCAUUUCAGAUUCUCUAAAAAUGUUUUACUAUGGUGGACUAAGAUGGACAUAGACACUGCACCCAGACCAGGGCUGAUGGAGCUGCAGCUCCAGGCCUAUGCCUAUGGAAUAGGCCCAUUGAUUUAAAAACAAUAUUUAUUUAUUUACCACUCUUCACAUGCUCUUGCUUAUGUAUGAAAACUUAAGAGGGGUGUAGGAGAACAAGACUGGUGUGUACUAGCUGACAAUGAAAUUAGUUAAGGUAAAGCUGACUUUAUGCAAAUGCUGUUGCUGCUUCAGUUUCUCUAACACUGGUGCAUGUUCCCUUUCUUCUACACUCACUACAUACACUUUUUCUCUGUCCCACAGAUUUAAUUGAAAGAUGAAAUCCAGAUAUUAGCAUAUUGUUUGUGUUUUCAGAUAUCUGUACCCUGUGAGUUUCCCUCCAGAACCACCUCCAUCAGAUACAUGACGCUUGGGAGGUAUGACUGUUUUAGUGUUUUCUGUCAAUAAGAUUCUGUAAUUAGGCCUAUCAUAAUUGUCAGCACCAGGCCCAAUGGACUCUUAAUCCAGCCCUGACCUAGACCACUUAAUUGAGAUAGUGUCCCUUUAAAUAUAAUCAUAAAAAUAGCAUCAACUACAAAAGCAGUGAUUCAUCUAUCUUGUUCAAAAGACAGAAAUGUAUGCAUGAAGGGUGUUAUGAAGAUACAACAGUAACUAUAGUACAUAAAGUAUUCAAAUGAACUAAGAGGUAGAGCUUGAUGAUAGUUCAAAGAGUAGGUUCAUAUAGGAGAUAGAGAUAGACAUUGCAUAAUACUGUAUAGUGGUCUACGACCGCGUACACAGCUCUGACAUUUUAAACAUACCUCAGUUAGGUAAAAAUAAUAGGGAUUUAGUCAUGGGUGUUGGGGAGGGGAAUGGGGGGAAAUAAUUCACUCCAGAAAACCUGGUGUAGAUUUCAAGAACAUAUGUGAAAAGAUUUGGUUAUCUCAUUGUACUAAUAGACUUCCUAGUGAUAAUACAUAAUUUUGUCUGUAGAAACCUGCAUUACUAUGGAUGGCCCCCCAGAUUUUCUUUAGUUAUGGUACUUACAGGCUUCCCACCAGAUUUAGUUAUAGUAUAUAAUCACAUUGCAUAGGCCUGUAGCAAUUCCCUGCAUCCUACUCUAUGCUGAUAUAUGUGCUACUCUAGUCAAAACCGGGAGGGUACCUAGAGCAAUUGGCACCUGGGGCGGAUCUUGUGCUUGUUACCCCCCCAUUCAAAUGUCAUCUACAAAACCCUGCCCAGCCCCCAUUUUACAACCCUACCCUUCUACAAAACAUCUUCCCCGUCCCCCUUCUACAAAAUCCUUGCCCCCUCUACAAAAAUCCAGUCCCGCUCUACAAAAACCCUGCAACUCCCUCUACAAAAAACUCUGCCCCCCUUAAAAUUCCCUGCUCCCCUAUUCACAAAAAAUCCUGCCCCCUCUAUACAAAAAACCCAGCCCGCCCCUGUACAAGACCCCUGCACCCCCUACAAAAACCCUGCACUCCCCCUCUACAAGACCCCUGUCUUUUUUUUUUAAACAAACAAAAAAAAACAAUAUUAGCAAGCACUCACCCUGCUACUUUGCCUGCUCACUGCUCCCUGCUGAUUCGGACUCCAGGCUCUCCUGCCGCGGCACCGCCCGCACAGAGUAUCAGACUGUUUCUGCUCAGCAUGUUGAAAGCACUGAAAUUCGCGCCUCCAUUCCUCCUCCUGCUGCCUGGCCGAGGCUGUUGCUCCAAUGGUGGAUGGUACCCACGUAAUGAGAGGCAUCCUGGGUAGACUGCCCCCCCUCACUCCCCUAUUAGUGCGCCACUGGUCUAAACUAGUUAACUGACUUCUUUGGAUAAUCUGCUCAUAUAUUAUAAAACAUAAUGCUUUAGCUGAGAAUUUUUGAAGCUAUGUAAAAGGUGCUGGAUGUGUAAUCCUCACAAAUGAAUGUAAGAUCUGAACCCACUUCAUUUGGUUAUUCAUGACCAAAUCUUUCACAUGAGCAGAAUUAUCCCUAUCAAGAAUUUUUGUGCUGAUGUAUGAAGGUAUGGUGUAUAUCCAGAAAAAAUACUACCUUGCAAACAGCCGAUCAAUGAAAAUAGAGAUAAAAUUUAAAAUUAAAUCUUUUGUAAUCAAUUAAAACAGAAAUGCAUUUUGUCUAUUAAAUGGACUUCUCCAAAGUGGUUCUAAUCUGUUGAUAAGAUGGUAAACCAAUUGUCAUGGCCAGGCAUGCUUCAAGAAGUCCAUGGAAAUGCCAUCAGUACAGCUUGGCCGUCUGCUGUGCCUUAGUGCCUUUUAUGGCUUCAUUGUUUAGCCCCUGUUUCUGACACACAGUCCAACAUCAUGUGACCACUUUGGGCCAAUUAAAGCCAGUUUUAGGCUUUUUAAACUCAAAAUAAAUAUUUUUGAAUGUGCUGUUGUGGUUUCCAUUUUGGUAAUCUGACAUUCAGUUUAUUCUAUUGACUCUAUUGUGUUUUGACUAUUGGCUUUUAUCUUGAUAAUUCUGACUUCUGUGUUCUUUGUCCUCUGGCCCGUCUUACCAUUUACCUCCGUUCUGUUUUCCUGACCUCUGCUUUUCCUACACUAUUUAAUUAUUAAUAUUAAAUGCAGCCAUUCUAAGGUCCGGUAAUACGUUUUAAGAUUUCUGAUUAAGAUUUAUUUACAGCGAACAAAAUUAUAUACACAACAAUUUUGUUUUUGCCCCCAUUUUUAUGAGCUGAACUCAAAGAUCUAAGACUUUUUCUAUGUACACAAAAGGCCUAUUUCUCUCAAAUACUGUUCACAAAUCUGUCUAAAUAUGUGUUAGUAAGCACUUCUCACUUAUCUCUGCAUGCUCGUCGUCCUCAUCGGGUCUCGACCUGACUGCAGUUCAUCAUCGUAACCAACUAGGGUGGGCAAAUGUUUACAUUCGCUGGCAUUUGGCACUUUGGAGAGGUGUUCUCUUCACAGAUGAAUCCCGGUUUUCACUGUACAGGGCAGAUGACAGACAGCGUGUAUGGCGUUGUGUGGGUGAGCGGUUUGCUGAUGUCAAUAUUGUGGAUUGAGUGGCCCAUGGUGGUGGUGAGGUUAUGGUAUGGGCAGGCAUAUGUUAUGGACAACGAACACAGGUGCAUUUUAUUGAUGGCAUUUUGAAUGCACAGAGAUACCAUGACGAGUUACUGAGGCCCAUUGUUGUGCCAUUCAUCCACGAACAUCACCUCAUGUUGCAGCAUGAUAAUGCACGACUCCAUGUUGCAAGAGUCUGUACACAAUUCCUGGAAGCUGAAAACAUCCCAGUUCUUGCAUGGUGAGCAUACUCACCGGACAUGUCACUCUUUGAGCAUGUUUGGGAUGCUCUGGAUCAGAGUAUACGACAGCGUGUUACAGGUCCUGCCAAUGCAACUUCGCACAGCCAUUGAAGAGGAGUGGACCAACAUUCCACAGGCCACAAUCAACAACCUGAUCAACUCUAUGCGAAGGAGAUGUGUUGCAUUCGUGAGGCAAAUGGUGGUUACACCAGAUAAUGACUGGUUUUCGGAUCCCUCCCCCCCCCACCCCCCCGUAUUCUCCCAGUACUUUAAAACGUCCCAUUUUAGAGUGACCUUUUAUUGUGGUCAGCCUAAGGCAAACCUUUGCAAUAAUCAUGCUGUCCAAUCAGCAUCUUGAUAUGCCACAGAUGUGAGGUGGAUGGAUUAUCUCUGCAAAGGAGAAGUGCUCACUAACAUUUAGACAGGUUUGUGAACAAUAUUUGAGAGAAAUAGGCCUUUUGUUGACUUAAGUUCUGUAUGUUGGAUAAUAGUUAAUCCUGACACCAAUUAAUAAACUAUCAAUAAUGGGGUACUUCAAUGCAGUGAUGGACUUUCUGACUAAACCAAUAUAUUUUGGCACUGACAUUAACACAAAUACUAGCUUUGAUACAUCACACAAAUCUUUCACAAGAAUAUAUUUUUACAUUGUAAGUUUCCAUGCAGAGCUGUCAAAUAAUUUAAGGUUUUCAUACUGGAAAGCAGAUUAAAGAACAAAUCAAUCUAUUGAGAAUUAUAUUUUGAAAAAAGGUCAUGUACACUGUAGAUAUAAUUUUAGAAUUAACAUUUAUUUUAGUUGCCGUGGAUAUGCAAAUUGUCAAGUCUUUCAUUCUUCUUUGUUUAGGAAUGAUGUAAUAUAAUCAUUCUCAUUCUUGGUAUAUAGAGAAUUUUUUGUCGCAUUGAAAAUGCAAAAUGAACACAUGCCAAUCAGUGUCAGCUUGAACUAAACUGACCCUGAUAAUGUGGAAGUGUUAAUUCCAUGUUAUCAUUGCGACCAAGACAGGGCUAGUCACUUGGAGCAAGAUAAUGGUCAUGUCGCUUAUAGUGCCCUUUUAAACCUGCUAUGAAAAAAGAUUAUACACAGCUUCUCAGAUAUGAAUUCUGAGAACUAUGAAAAUGUGUAUUAUGACAUUUUGAACAUAUAUAUAAUAAAGCCCGCUGUACAUCACAUAAAAUCCCUCUUAUGAAUAGAUCUACUGCCACCCAAAGAAUUCCAUUUAUUGUAGUAAAUCUAAUUGCUAUGGGAAUAAAACAUAUGUCAAUCAGUUCACAUCCUGAAAUAACCAUAUGUAUCUGUUCCUUAGGUCAGAACAAGGAGAAAAGGGUUAUGCAAGUUAAUAAGUUCCCUUAAAUAGAAUGCUACAAAAAUGUUAUAUGAUGAUUACAGUGGCAAUAGUGCAAAAUUCUUUUAAAAUAAAGCAUACCUUCUCAUAGAAGAAAUAUUAUUGACCAGAUUCACAGUCUGUCACAGAACCUGGUAUUAAUUCGCUGAAGGGGUUACAUAGUUUUUGUGUUUUGCACUUUAAAUGUAUUGCAGUGUUGUGUAGUCACAUAUAGGUCGAACUGACAAACUAAACUAGACAUAUUUCUAAUUUGCAGUUUUGCUUAUCAGAUAGAUUGGAAAUGUUGUUUUGCAGUGAACCAAUUUUACAUUUUCCCAAAAUUCCCAUGGCUCGUAAAAAUAAUUUUAGCACUAUCGUAAUAGUUAAAAGAACACUUGUAACAUUAAACAUAAAUACUUAUUUUAAGGUUAAAGUGUUCCUGGGGACUUUUGGAUUAUGUGAUCACCCCUUUUUAAAUAAAAAGGAAGUUUUUACUAAUCUCUUAUCCAGCGUCAGGCAGAUUCCCGUAGGCAGAUAGUCUUUCUCUUCUUAGAUUACCAAUCCAGACCAAUCUAUAGGACAUGUAUGUCAAUGCCAAAUGGAUCCUUCUCAUAUAUUUCAAUAAACCCAGCCGAAGAGACGGAGAUUCAUGUGGAAGAUGAGCCCUGCAAGGGAGAAUUUGUUAUCCUUGGCAGCGGGAAAUGGUCGCCUAAAUGGUGACUAGGGCACCAUAGAGUUAGGAAUACACAUUUGUAUUCCUAACGCUAUAGUGUUCCUUUAAAGUCUUUGCUAGGAAGUGCCUCUAGUGGCCGUCACUACUAAUAUGGAAUUGAGGAGAACUAACAAUUCAAUUUCAAAUUGUAUGUCAAAAUAGCCAAAUUGGAAGAAAAUAGGGUGAGUUGUCCACAACCCCUACUUUAGUGAAAUAAAUCCAAUAAACCCAACACUUAUACAGAGUUAUUCACUAAAGAAUUGUCAGGAAUGCAAAGGAAAUUUUAAAUUUAAGGCCAAAGAAAGCUGAACUGGAAAAACUCUCCAAGUCAGCGACACUUCCGUUCUGCCAACUUUGGUUAAAUUUAAAAUUCACUUGAAAUCCCUGACAUUCCUCACUUUAGUAGUGAGCUACCAUAAUACACCUUACACUUGUAAUAGACCUUACACUACAGUUCUACAUUUUACAAUAUACACACGUUUUGUGAUUGUUUCUGUUUUGCAGAGACAAGUCCUUUUUAAAGAACACUUAAAGGACGACUCUAGGCACCCAGACCACUUCAGCUUAAUGAGGUCCAGCUAGGGUUAACCCAUUUUUUCAUAAACAUAGCAGUUUCAGAGAAACUGCUAUGUUUAUGAGUGGGUUAAGGCUUCCUCCAAUUCCUCUAGCGGCUGUCUCAUUGACAGCCGCUAGAGGCGCUUGCGUGCUUCUCACUGUGAAAACCACAGUGAGAGCACGCCAGCGUCCAUAGGAAAGCAUUGUAAAUGCUUUCCUAUGCGACCAGCUGAAUGCGCGCGCAGCUCUUGCCGCGCGUGCGCAUUCAGCCGGCGGGGAGGAUCGGAGGAGGAUUGGAGGAGGAGAGCUCCCCGCCCAGCGCUGGAAAAAGGUAAGUUUAAACCCCUUUCCCCCUUCCAGAGCCGGGCGGGAGGGGGUCCCUGAGGGUGGGGGCACCCUCAGGGCACUAUAGUGCCAGGAAAACGAGUAUGUUUUCCUGGCACUAUAGAGGUCCUUUAAUACAGUUGCAGUUAUUGUACAGGUUCUUAUAGAAUCAUAAUGUACAUGAUUUCAUAAAAAGUACAAUUACAGAAUGAUGCAUAUUGUAGGUAUCAUCAAUAUAAGUAGAGAUAUCUGGUUGGAGUGAGGGAGAAUAUAUUUAUAUAGCAAGAUUUUGGAUUUGAGACAAAAACAUUUCUGGGAAUAUUGCCUUGAAGACAUUUCUGUAUACAUUUAAAUAAAGAGAUGGCACAAAUCUAUACAGCAUGCAAAGAGACUGUGAAGUCAUGUGAAAGUAUGUUUAACAUUUUAAUGAUAAUUAUUUUACAUUUUAUUUCAGUUAAGGUUUGUAAUUUACAUCUGCAAUUUAUACAUGUUUUUUAGGUUUUGUGACUAGUAGACAUAAAUAGUCAUCAUAAAUGCUAUGGUAUUAAUUGUGUCAAUUAUUUUCAGUUGCAAUUCCAUUUGACGGCUGUUUUGCUUGCAAGUGUAAAAAACUCAAGGAGCUGUAGUUCUGGCUGCUGAUGCUUUUUCACGGAUAAAAAAAGUGCACAAUCAAGCCAAGAAUAUCAAACGGCAACCUGCACACACCUAGUUUAAAUAGCUCUGCUUUCAAAUUUUAAGGGCUACAAUGCUUCGCUUGAUACAAGUACUUCCCUACAUAAAUCAGUCAUAUUUAUUAUGUUUUGUUUCAGGCACUCAGUUACUGUGCUGCACAAUUUCAUACAGUAUUAUAAUCAUUAUUAUACUCCUCUAAAUUUUCUGGUGUGGUGCAUAGCUUAAAUGAACACUAUAGAGUCAGGAACACAAACAUGUAUUCCUGACCCUAUAGUGUUAAACCCACCAUUAAGGUGGCAUGCCCCCCCCCACCUCCCUCCCCGCUCCCCUUUUCCCUUAAAAGUAACCCAAAUGUGGUUGCCCAGUUGUGGGUUUCCUUUGCAGUAACUGCAGGACGACCAUCCAAGUGGAUGGCCCUGGGAUUACCAAAUGCAUACUAAGGAAGUGAGACUAGCAAACAUGAUAUCAAAGGCUGCACUUCGCACAGGAUAUAUCCAAGUAAUCCUGGUACAUGCAUCAACACAAACAAAAACAUAUUUAUAACCAUGAGAUGUUGGCAAACUGUCAAUACAAAGUAAUUCAAAAAGUAUGUUAGUUUUUUUUUGCCACCCCCUGGAAAAUGCCGCCCAAGGCAAAUGCCUUGUUUGCCUCGUGGCUAAAACGUCCCUGCAUCAUACAGAAACUAGAUGCACUAUUUGCCAAUUUCUGGUGUAAGCUGGAGUUCAGAGCACAAUCGCUAACCACGCAGCAGACAAGCAGCCAACAAGUCAAGCAGUUGCCUCCAAUCUUGAACACCGGAGAGGUCUCAACAUGGCGGCAGUUAGAGAAGACAUCGACGACCACGCUCCGGUGCCGACGGCGGCUGAUAACUGCGCCUCAAACACGAACCCAGCAAAGAACCACACACAACCCACACCAGCUCCAGUCCCAGUGGACCCCACAGACCCAGCCCUACGAGGCUCAAGCUCGCACACAGAGGAUGACUGGCAGAUGUUGGGAGCACAUCCCCACUGAAGCAAGGAGCCGGAGAAGCAGGCUGGUACAAAAAUGCUGCAAAUAGGUCUGGGCCUUGUCUGACCGCUAAGGGCAUAGUCUGAGUGGGACAUGUAUAAAGGGACACUGGACAUGCCGGAGAAAAACCCUGCAGUUCCCUCUCACACACACACAGCACUCAUAUAUCGUUACAGCAUGUGAUUUAAUAAUCUGAUUUCAGCCUAUACCGCAAAGCCUCCUAAGCCACUUGACCCACUAAUACUUGGCACCUGGCUACUAAAAGACCUGGUGGCCUCCCUACUUUAAUCAAUGUCUAGCGCCCGUAUCUACCUAGCCUGUGUAUUCUUAGCAUACAAUCUGAACAUUAUAUAUGACAUGCAUCACCAUAGUACCUAAAACAGCCCUAGACAAAUCCCCUACCCCUGUUUUAUAAGCUUGUUUCGUCUUAAACAAAAAAAGUGCACUGUUUAACCAUGCCAAACAACUGUCUUUAUAUGAACGUGUAAACUCUGGCAGAAAGCUGUUGUGGCAUUUGGUGCCGUAAAUUAUUCUUUAUGCAUUAUUAUUUAUUUUUUCUUAAAUUUUAAUGUCUGUUUAGAAUAUUGCAGGCUUUGCAAUAUCACAUUAAUUUUGCAUUAUAUAUAUUCACAAUACUCUUACUACAUAAUAUUAAAAUUAGCAAUAUAUGAAUUGAGAUGGGCGAUCCUAAGUUGCCUUAUAAAAUUUCAAACUGUGUUUAUACUAAAACGUAAGUGCACACGUCAUGGGAAAUUCCCAGAUUUAGGGAAUUUCCACUAACUUGGGACAAGAUGGCUUCCUAAAGUCUGAACAUCUUAUUCACUGAAUAUGGGUAAGCGGUCAUUUAUUAAAGAAACAUUGUAUGAAAAACAAUAUAUUCCAUUCUAACACCUUGUCAGUUUGCAAUAUCUCUUAAAGACAAAGUACACAGUUUGAGGAAUACAAUAUUUAAUUCUAAAACUUGUAAUAUUUGCAUUUGCCCAUAACAGUGGUGUAUAUGUAUGUAGUGUUGGUGUGUCAAUGCUGAGAUGUAUGCGCAUAUGCACAUACACUGCCACACACACACUGUGAUACACAUACACACAGAUACACACUGACACAAAACACAUGCAGAUACACAGAUAUACACACUGACACACUUGCAGAUACAGAUACAUAAACUGACGCAGAUACAGACAAACAGAUACACAAUCUGACACACAUGCAGAUGCUCAGACACAGGUAUACACACUGACUCCAUACAGAUACUACAGAUACACACACUGAUAACAUACAGAUACACACACACACACACAUAAAGCUGCUCACACACAUACAGACACAUAUACUGUCAGACAUACAAACACAGACACAUACACUGGUAGACAUACUGAUACAUACACUGACAGACAUAGAGACACACACAUACACUGACAGACAUACCGUCUGUCAGUGUAUGUAUAUGUGCAUGUAUAUCUGACACACAUGCAGAUACACAGAUACACAAACUGACUACAUACAGAUACACACACUGACAACAUACAGAUACACUGGCACAUAUACUGUCAGACAUACUGACACGCAGACACAUGCACCGGCAGACAUACUGACACACACAAAUACAUACACUGACAGACAUACUGACACAUAAACUGAAAGACAUACUGACACAUAUACAUACACUAACAGACAUACUGACUCACACACACAGACACACUGAUAGACAUACUGAAACACAGACAGACAUACUGACCCUCACACACAUUCACAUAUACUGACACAAAUAACACACACAGAUACACACAUAGACAGACAUACUGACACACACACAGACAGACUGACACAGAGACAGACAUACUGACACACACACAGAUAAACUGACACACACACAGACAGACAUGUCAAAUUUAAAUUUUUAUUCCCACACCAGUUUCCUACCUUUUUCUGGAGUGCUUCCUUGGGGUCCAGUGUGGUACCUGAGGCUGAUGGGAGUGAGGAGCCCACCUCCUCACCGCCUCCUUCUCCUCCUCCCUCCUGCGCAGCCCCUCUGCCCCCCUCCAGCACGACUCCUCUCUUUAUGUGAGGAAGUGACUUGUGGCUCUCACAUCCUCCCAGACGGUUGCCAAAGAGCAAGGGGCCCCUUCUUAAAACAAGCCCACCGGGUUGUAGGUUGUUUAGUGGGCUUUGAAUGCCUGGCUUUUGAUUCCAACAGGUUUAGCAAACUGACUUACAAAGCUCUGACAAAAAAGAAAGAAAUUAGUCAAAAUACCCCAUAGGGUCUUUUCACUAUACCCACUUUAUUGAGCCGUAGUGGUAAUGUUGCUCAAAGUGACUCUAUAUCUGACUAUUAUAUUAGUAUUUCCAUGAAACAUUAUUACUUCCAACAACAUGCUAAUGCACAUCCACUAUAUUAUGAUCUGAUCAAGGAUUUCACUCUAAAAUCACACAGCCAGCAGUUAGCGCUUUCCUGCUCUGUUCGUAUGCCAUGCUUCUUGAGUGACAUGACAUACAGAAAGUUGUUUUUGUACUGGCCAUAGGAUUGGCUAUGACUUUGUCAGAAACAAAAACAAUAAACAACAUAAUAGUAAGUUAGAACAAAUUUAAUGGCCUCUUAAUAAAAAGAGGUAUGAAUGUGGAAUUGCCUCGUCACAUUAAGAGAAUGGCUGACAUCCCAGUUCAAGAUAUUCAAGAUAUAUCAGGCAAAGGAAUGUAUUUCCUGAGGCCCAAAUAAACAUUCUUAAAGGGGCACUUAAUCACUGCAGCUUGUUGUAGUAACUAUUUGCACCAUGAACACUACUAUUACUUGUAGUGACUAUGGUGCUUUGACUACCCCUCUAACUCUCCAACCGUUUCCCACUCAGGUUAAGGUUUUUUGUUUUACCUGGCAAUGAGAUUGUUGCUAAUUUCUGUGGCCUUUCAUGACACAACUCAGCCUACAUGGGAAAUAUGAACAUAAGCCAAGCAAAGUCAAAACUGGUUAAGGUAAAAUGUAAAUUGGCAACAGGUCACAAACAUAGAAAUGGUAACCUAAAGAGAAUCAAGACUGGAGAAUCAAGUCUAAAUAAUAAGACACAUUGAUACUUACAAACUAGCAGUUAGCUGCACAAACAGUUAUUAUUUAUAAAAUAUUUUACCAGUAAAGAUACAUUGAGAUUUCUCUUGUUUUCAAGUAUGUCCUGGGUCCACAAAACAUCACAUUGAUACAUUAGGGUACAAUAAAAUAGGAAAACAAUAUUAACACACAACAUAUACAAAAUUUUAAAUAGAACAGCUAGGAAAUAUAUAAUCAACCAUGACACGUGCAUUCUGUUUUAAGGUAUGUAGAGGAGGAUCUGAUAAAGGACUUUAGGCUUGGGGAAGAAUUUAAAGUGUGCGGGAUGUCGUUCCACAAUUGCAGCGCUCUGUAGGAGAUGGAGCAUCGGGUCGCUUUCUUUUUGUAUUGAGGUAGACUAAAUAAAGUGCUGGUGUAACGAGAAUAUACCCCAACACGCAGGAUUCAGCUAAACAGAAGACGUUUUAGCUAAACAGGAGAGAUACGUCUACCGGACCUUAGAAUGGCCAGACUCGACGUAUAUGAGAGGAGACAGAGUCAGGAACGAUCCGAAGUCAAGGGCACAGAGAGACAGCAUAAACUAGGACUAGCCGGGGUCUGGUACACAGUAAACAGCAAGCCGGCAACCAGAACAGAUAAGGAUAAAGAGAAAACGUAGUCAGAAACAAAGCCAAAGUCAAUACGAAGAAAACACAACUGAACACAACAAGCGCUAAAGGGAACUGAAACAGAAACCACGAUAGGGCAGGGAGUAAAGGGAGAGGUAAGUUUAAAUAGCUUCUAAACUAAUGUGAUUGGCUCCUGUCAUAUCCACACCCCCAAAAGGUAAGUGUAUGGGGAGUGUGGCAUGACAGGGGCCAAUGGGAGCCUUUUGACAAUUUAGGCUCCCACUGUCUCUUUAAGCGCUCUGAGCGCUUCUCGCGGUCACUGCCCGCCUUCCUAUUGAAGCCGUCGGAUGAGCCGCGCGCGGCUCGUGCAGCAGCAGGACCGCGCGCGGCUCGAAGAGAGGACCGUGGCCGGCCCCUGGAUAAGGUAAGUAAUGCUACAGCUGGUACUGGAUCAGAGGUUAUAGGAGGUGGAAACAGCCGGUUAUAGCAUUCCGCUCAGGUAGCGAGGGAGCUUCCGAGAAAAGCUCUUAAACAAUAGGGUGGAACGAUGAAGGGUGCAUCUGGAUUCCAGCAACAGCCAGUUUAGUUAUUUUAGCAUGUCACAAUGGUGGGUCCUGUAAUUACAUUGUAGCACAAAUCGGCAGAACGAGUUAUACAAUGUAUUGAGCUUAUUAAUGUGGGAUUGCGGUGCAGGUGCAUAUACUACAUCCCCAUAAUCAAUAAUUGGCAUCAGCAUAUGCUGUACAAUCUUUUCCUUUACUGUGGGGCUUAGGCAGGAUUUGUUUCUGUACAGGGCACCUAGUUUUGGAUAAAGUUUAGAUGCAAGUUUUUCUAUGUGGAGGCCAAAAGAUAGGUUGGGGUCUAACAGCAUACCCAAGUAUUUGAAAGAGUGGACUGCGGUCAGUGUGCUAUUUGAAUUUGUUUUGAUGGAUAGGUAGGAAUUGUGUAAUUUUGUGUAAUUUAGGUACUGUUCCAAAGAUCAUUGUGACAGUUUUGUCAGUGUUCAGGAAGAGUUUGUUUUUUGCAAUCCACUUUUCUACCUCUGUAAACUGGUCCUGGAGCACAGCUUCAAGCUGCGGUAGAUCGGAUUUGUUUGCAUAGAUUACUGUGUCGUCUGCGUACAUGUGUACAUUUGAGGUUUUGCAGACAUUAGGCAGAUCAUGCCUAAUGGAACCUUGGGCAACACCACACGUGACUGGGAGAGGGAUUGAGUCGCUGUCAGAAAUGGACACAUAUUGCGAGCGAUCCGAUACAUACGAUUGAAAACCAGGUUAGCGGACAAUCACCAAUACCUGAGUUUUUGCGUUUGUGCAGUAGAAUGUCGUGGUCUACUGUGUCAAAGGCCUUUGCAAAAUCAAGGAAAAUAGCUCCAGUUAGGUCUUCUUGUUCCAUGCCAGUUUGGAUGUCAUUGCAAACUUUUAAGAGGGCAGUUAUAGUUGAGUGAGUCUGGUGAAAACCCGACUGAUCAGGGGUCAGAUAGUUUGAUUGUUGGUAAUAUUUACAUAGCUGCGUAUGGACACAUUUUUCUAAUAUUUUUGACAAUACUGGGAGCAAUGAUAUUGGGUGAUAGUUAGAAACCAAAGUAGUGUCACCACUUUUAUGGAUAGGCACUACUCUUGCAGUCUUCCAAAGUUUGGGUAUGUAUCCAGACACCAAGGAUUCGUUAAUUAGGGUUGCGACAGGAUUAGCAAUUGCCGGCGCACUGAGCUUCAACAGCAUUGCUGGGAUUUGAUCAGGUCUACACUGGUUUAUCAUUUUUAGAUUAUUAAGGUGUUUUUUAAUGACACUAAUAGGUACAGGUCUAAAAAUAAACUUGUGCAAAUUUAGUGGGGCCUGAUCCACAUUUGUAGUUUCAGGAUGUGUGUCAUUUAUUAGCUUGGCAAUCAGGGUAAUGGAGCAUCCAACAAAAUAAUUGUUAAAGGCAUUUGCUACAUUUAAGGGAAGUUGCAGGGUUUUGUUAUCCACUUUGACAGUGGAGCGUUGGGAGUGGAUUGGGGGAGUUUGUAAUUUAUUUAUGACUUUCCAAAAGAUUAUAGGGUUUGAUAGGUUAUUGUUCAGAUUUUCACAGAAAUAUUGGGCCUUGGCCAAUUUUGUUUGUUUUGUGUAUAUAUUUCGCCAUUGUCUAUAUGCACAGUGAUCAUUCAUAGAGCCAGUACACUUGAACUUUGACCACAAUAAAUCACCGAAACUGGUACAUUUUGGAUGAGGUCAGCUGUGAUCCAGGUCAUAUGUGCUCCUUUUGCUCCCACCUUACGCAGGGGGGCAUGCAAAUUGCAAACUUGUAGGAGUUCACACUGAUAGAAUUCAACAGCACAGUCUUUAUUUUGCGCACGCAGUACACUAAACAGUGAUCACUGAAACUGUUAGGGAGAAAACCGGCCUGACACAUAUGUGGUCUUAAAUAUUUUUUUAAAAAGUCUCCAUAGUGACACGUUUGCAAACGUAGAGGUGAAUGGGGGUAACUGAUGUAAGGCACAUGCACUUACCUGAACUUCUCUCUUUUUGUCACCACCAUCUUUCUUUUCAGCUUAAUCUUGAGCUUCAUCAGCCAGGAAACACAUCUCUGAUGUCACUUGGAUGAAAAUCCUAAAUGACUAUAUGAUAGGCAGCCCGUGAGAAGAUGCUUGGGUCUGUCAGCCAUAGCCAGUGAAAAUGGCAAGUUGUGGUAGUUGAAGCUGGUUGAAUAUCCACAUUUUUCACAAAACUAUAAUACUUUGUGUUAGAUCUUAUAUUGUUGAAUUACAACAAAUUCUUUCUUUAAAAGAAGAUUCUAUAUUUAGAAUAGAUUAUUGACAGUAGGCUAUGGAGGCUCUCCCCUGGUUCCCUGACAAACCACUGAAAAGUCACCCAAGCAGUAGCCAUAUUGUUAUUGCAGAAUUGAGGCUUUUGCAUUUACAAUACCAAUUCGAUAUUUAGACAGCAGUGAUAACAGUGAAUGUGUCAGCAGAAGUGUAAAUUGCAGAAUAACAGACGAGAAGCCACCCCACUUAUUCCUGGGGGUCCCAGGCUUUAUGUCAAACCACUUAAAAAAAGUUCAGUGAACAGAGUACGUUAGGGUAGCAACAUCAUUCAUGUGACAACCUACCCCUUGGUUUUCUUGGAAAGAUACUCAGCUGCAGUGGAAUUUUAUUUAUUAUUUAUAAAAUAUUUUACCAGGAACGAUACAUUAAAAUUUCUCUUGUUUUAAAGUAUGUCCUGGGAAUGACAACCUCUUGUGCACAAGACCUUCCCAUGUGCCUGUGAGUAAUAUGGGAACCUUGGGGAUCUAUGAGGGUAUGGGUGCCUUUAUUUACAGAGGAAGCAAAGAAGCCAGAAAGGAGCAGCCAGGAAACGGUGUCAGAUGAUCCAAUGGUCAAGGCUGGCAGCAAAAGAGCAAAGUCAAGAGUCAAGCCAAAGGUCACAAGCUAGGAAAUCCACAAACUAGGAGCAAGAUAACAUAGGUCAGAGACAAGAAGCAUGGUCAGUGUCAAAGCCAAAGGUCAGAAGUCGAGAAGUUUACCAGGAAUCAUGAACCAGGAUCAGGAAGAGGAACCAAGACCAGGAACAAGAAUCAGGAACCCGGAUGCUAGGAGAAUGGGGCUGUCAGGGUAUUUAUAUCGGCAGACAUUUUGUGCUAUGAUAGAAACUAAAAGUGUAUAUUCUGAGUCACUCUGAACAGACCAGACUCCAUUUUGUUAUUUCAAGUUAACAAAAAGACACAAGAUUUCUUUCUGUAAGACUAGCCACUUUGCCAGAGCUAAAAGGAAUGCAUAGUAUAAACAAGUGAUAAGAAGAAUAUAAUCAAAUCUAAACCCAGACAAUUGUGACAGAGAAGAUUAAAUAAUUUAAUUUUACUGUCUAUAUAUAUAUAAGGUACCAUUGUAUGGAAAAGGGUAAACUUAGUUCAUGAUCUGCCAUAUCAGAAAUUAUGGCAGGAAUUGCAGACGCUAAGUCUGGACAAAAUUUAAGAAACCCUUUGAAAUUUUAAAUUAUGGCACUAUAAAGAUAACGCAAAAUGACGUCAAAAUAGCCACCAGGAAAAGUUAACUCUUUCCUGGAUAGGUAUGUUUAGUGGGACAAGACUGCCCUCUAUAGAUCAAAUAACUAAAUUGCGAUCUGGAAGAUAACCACACCUCUAGUGCUUCUAUUGGGUUAUCAACUGAUGACGUACAGAGAGUCUGGCCCUUUAAAAGUUAGGACAAAGGGAAGAUUGAGGUAUGCAGGAUAGGCAAAGGAGAAAGAAAAAGAGGAGAGAGGAAUUGGAAGUUUGGGGAUUCCAACUCGGACAACAUCUGAGACUAACACUCUACUCCUAAAACUCUAACACUUAGAAUGUACUGACUUUCUAACUAACACCUCCAUGCAGAGAGACAUCCAAAUAAGUUCCUGAGACUACCAAUCGGAUGAAAUAUCUACUCAACUGGUAAUUAUACUGGUUUCAUUUAAUUAAUUAAAUUAAUUAAAAUGUAUUAAUAGCAUUAUAUAUGACUGGAUAAAGCACGGUCAGAUUUCCAUAUUAAGAAAUCUUAGUUAACUAAAGAAUAUAUAGUUAUAAACAUUCCAUUCUGCAGGUGGAAUUAAGAAUAAUUAUAUAUUGAUGUGAUAUUAUCACGUGUUAGCAUACCGUUGUUUUUAUCCAGGUGUAUUGAUUUGCUCUAAAUUAAGAUAAGAUAUCUUUUAGACAAAUUAAAAUCUGCUUAUAUAUAUGGUAGAUUCUCUUAUUGGAUGGUUCCAGGAAAUGACUAAUGAACUGGUUUAAAUGUAUUUUAUUUAAAAAUUGCAUAAGAAUAGAUCCUAAUUAUCUAGGAGGUCUAGCCAGCAUUGGAAGGGUUAUUUUAACUGUCAGCUAAACUUUACGACCUUACGCUGCACUCUGAGGAAUUCUGUUCUCUGCUGUGAAAAGUUUCGCUUUCUCUCUGUGUUAAAGAUACCUCAUAAAUCGUCAAAGUCUUGACAGAUAAUGCUGUUUACCCAUUGAAACGUAAUACCCAUUCCUUUGUAUUGCAUACCAUUUUAUACUGGAUAUUCAUUGAUUAUUGUCAUGCAUGUUACAUGUUAUUAUUAAUUAACUUGUCAUUAUAAAUAAAAUCUAUUUUUAUAAAACUGUGAAUAUUAUUUAUAUGGUAUACAUUUCACUUAACACGAUAACGAUAUUUGGGAUCUGAGAAUUGAAUUAGUGGGCAAUUCUCAACUGUUUACUAUUAUUAUCCCAUAAAUAUCCCCACAGGGCAAGCUUCAGAACAACCAAACACCAACCAAGUGCUUGGGUUUUUAUAAGUACAGCAAUUUAUCGGACGGCCCUUCCCCCCCCCACCCCAGUAACUAUAAAGGAUUGGAUGGGAAUGGGCAUCAGCUUGGCUAUUACACAGUCCCUCCCCUCUGUCUCUCCAGUCCCUUCUCUCUGUCUCUCCAGUCCUUCCUCCCCCCUGGCCCUAUCUUCACCAAACACUGCUGCGACUGCUAAGCGGAGGCUGGUGCUAAUUGUGGACACCAGAGCCAGGAAGGAGGAUGGAAGGAGGGGGCUCCCUGAGCCCUGGAAAGGUGCCCCUAGGACACCACUGGUGCCUAUGGACAGGUAAAUGCUAUUAGUCACAUUACAAUUCAUCAUUUUGAUGAGUAUGCUUAGCAGAAUUGAUUGUACUGUAUAUAGUGAUAGAACAAUUUGUGCCUGUGCUUAUAUGGCGCUAUGAUUAACUGAACAUUCUUUGUUGUUCUGUUUCUGAUUUAAUGACAUUUCUAUUAGUGUGGGAAUGAACUUCACUGGUAAAAAAAGAAGGCAUCAAACAAAACUGUCAGCAGUAAUCAGACAAGAUGGCUUAAGUGUAUUUUAGUUUAUAGCUACAUACACUUGUAACAGCCCCACCUACUGCCCAUUCAAAAUAUACAUUCAUGUAUGAUAAAUACUAUUGAUACUCUAGCACCCCUUCUGUGUCAAAGUAGAUUAUAAUGUUUUCAUCAUAAAUCAUAAUAUAUGUCCAUUUGUAAAAUUGAUCCUUGGAACAUAGGUGUUGGACUGCUUUACUCCAUGAGAGCAUUAUUUUAUAUUCAUCUUUUUAAUCUAUGCUUUUACAGUCUUUUCAGACUGUAGAUGUAUGCGCAUGUAGAAAUGUCUUUCAAAGUUAAAAAGAAACCCACUCUCUUCCUGUCACUAAGUAGAGGUAUGGUGGUUAGGUUUGGUUAAUUUUCAUUAUAUUUUGAUCUUGGGACCCAUUUAGGGGAGGGUGGAGGUGUAUUUAUUGACUAAGUAGACAGGGGCAUGAUGACCACUGGCGAAGCCUCUAUAGAGGUGGGGGGAUAAACACUUGUGAGGAAACUGGGCAUUUGUUGGCCUUGUAUUAGGACACAAUACUUUGUAUAAGGACAGAGAUAUUAGCUCAACAGGACUAGGCCUAUCUAUGCCUACAGGCAUGGAGAAGUUAAUGAAUGGUUGUAUUCUUUAAUAUGUAGGCUAUGGAGACUAUGGAUCCUGUUGUCCACCUCAUAUCUAAUACCUUUCCAUCCCAAUGGGUAGUAAAAGAGGGGGGAGGAAGUAAUCUGUGCCAAGACAAACUAUCUUCAAUCUUGUAUUAAAUGUUGUAGAGAAAGAGGGAGAAAAUUCACCAUGCCCCCGGUUCUCUGAAGGCUAUGCACUUGGCUGUCUCCAGUUAUUAGGGUUUAUGAAAAAGAGGGGCUUUUGCAGGUUCCCUCUGGAUUCUGAAGGUUCUCCAGCAAUAUUUUUCACUAUAUUUGUUUGCAGGAGAUGUGUUGUGAGUGCUGCAGAUGAUAGAAUUAAUCAAGUCAAAUGUUUUUUGUUUUUAUUAUGUUCUAUAUAGCCUUAUAUAGUACUAUUGCAGUGAAGCCAAUAAUAUUCUAUCAUGGCAAGGAUAUGGCAGUUUGUUUACACACUAUUAUGACUUCCAGUAAUCAUCUUAAUAUUCACCCAUUGUUACUUUUAGUGGUUAAAAAUAAAAUGAUUAUUCUGGUUGUAUUGUACCAUUAUAUGUUUUCUGUAUCCUUAUAUUCUGUGUUAACUACAGCAUAGAGUGACAUCUGCUCUUUGCAGCAAUACUGAGACGGGUAAAGGGAUACCUUAGGUACCAAAACAACGUUGGCUUAACAAAGCAGUUUUAGUGUAUAGAUAAUGUCCCUGUAGUCUCACUCUCACAAUUUUUUAUGAAUUAAAUCACUUUUGUUUUUGUAUAUGCAACCUUAGCCACACCUCCCCUGGCUGUAAAUUACACAGCCUCCUUGUCAAAAUAUCAAUCAUAUUUGCUCAGAGUGUGUUUAGUUUAGAUAUUUGUUUCAUCUCUUGCUCUGUUAAUUGAACUUUAAUGACACACAAAAGGCUGUGGAUUGUAAAUGGACUAUGGUAAUAAGGAAGGUUUUAACUUUAGAUCUGCUUUUACAUGUGUAUAGAGUCUGUGAAGGUCACAUGCAGGGGAGGUAAGGCUAGUUUGCAUAAGCAAAGUGAAUUUGUAGAUGUUACAUAAUUGAUCAGUGAGACUUUUAUCUCCAUUAAUAAAGAGAGAGAAAGAGAGAAAGAAAGAGAGAGAGAAAGAAAUAGAUACAGAGAAGUGUGUGUUUGUUUGCAGUUAACUUUUCCUUACUAUCUUUUGUUUUUAUCGGAAUUUGUACCAUGAAACUGUGGAAAAAGAAAAUAUAUUUAAUGACUAUAAUUAUGUACAAUCAAUUUCCUGUUUUGACCUGGCGUGACUUAAUGUGUUGUUGUGGACACAAAUACACAUUUUAGUAGUGACAUCUGCUGGUAAGUGGUGAAUAUUACUCCACAUCCACAUUAUUCUUUUAUCGUCCACUAAACUCUCACAACAAUUGCCAGAGGAACCAAAGAAAAUCUGGGAGGAUAGCCUUUCAUAAUAAUCAUAGCUCCCCUUGGGAGCAUAUUUCAUUGCAGUUUUCUAUUAUUAUAAUGAUAUAAUCAGCUAUUUUAAAAUGUUUUGUUUAUCUUUCUUAAAUAGUGAAACAUAUUAUCUUAAGAACUUAAGGACUUUCUGAGGGGGAUUUGCCCCACCCCCACCUUUCCUGGUUACUACACCCAUGAUAAUAAAACAAGUUUUUAUCAUUCAUCAACUUUAGAUUCACUCUUAAAACCAUUUUAUGAGAAGUGCUCUAACUUGCCCCUAUAAGUGAACCAUACAGAUUCAGAAAGUACCAAACUCCUUUGCCUGACUCUUACAAAUCCUUGCACUAUUGCCAUAUUCUUUCUGAAAAUGAUUUAAUAUGAUCAUUUUCACACUCAAAGUAGGCCCCACAUCUUCUUUAGCACCUUCUAGUGUUUUUUAAACCAGCGCUAUAUAACCUACUAACGUCUUGGGAUAUUGUUAUUAUUGACAUGUAUAUACAGUUGUGCUCAAAAGUUUGCAUACCCUGGCAGAAAUUGUGAAAUUUUGGCAUUGAUUUUGAAAAUAUGACUGUUCAUGCAAAAUAUUUAUUUUAUUAAAGGAUAGUGAUCAUAUGAAGCCAUUUAUUAUCACAUAGUUGUUUGACUCCUUUAUAAAUCAUAGUCAGGCCCAGACUGGCCAUCGGGCAUACCGGGCAAAUGCCCGGUGGGCCACGAUGGUCAUGGGCCAAGGCUGGCAGGGGAGAUCACAGGAUCUCCCCGGAUGGCCCAUGGAGGGCCCGCGCUAUCAAUGCGCCGGCCCUGCUGUGUGCCUUUGUGGGCUGGUGGGGAGACAUGGUGCCAUUGGCUGGGGAGAGAGGGAGAGGAGGACCCGGUGGAGCUCUACCCUGUAGCUCUGCCGGGUUCCUCUCACGAGGUCGGAGCAUUGCCGCGGUUAUCAUGGCAACGCUUAGGUCUCGCGAGAGUGAACUCCCCCCAGAAACUGCAGGGUAGAGUUCACUCACCACUAGGAUCACCAGGGACUGCAGCACGGCCCCCCUCCCAGGCUAAAGAUAAGAAGAUUGUGAAGUACCAUUAUAACAAUUAAAUAGGAAAGUGCUUGCCUACAGGUGUCAAUUUGUUAAAACAUAACAUUUAAUAAAUUUGUUUAAAAGCUUGCCGUCGAUAAUCAGCAAAUAAAUAAAAAAUUAUUAUUAAAUUCUAAAACUAUUAAUAGUGUAGAACAAAGGACAUAUAGAAAAAUGUAUAAAGAAAAUAAAAAGAGGACUAUUGUAGAAUAAUCCUUUUUAAUACUGAGAUUACAGCAUGAGUCCAAGUAUAAGUAAUUAGUAGUGUACAUUCAGAAAUGCCAGUGAAAAUGAAGCUGGCAAUUAUAAGAGACACAAUUAGUAAUGACAAAACACACCCUCUCUGUCCCCGCCCCCUCCUCAGGAGGUGGGGGGAGGGCACUGUGAUUGAAAAAUGCCCGGGACUCAUUUUUUUCCCAGUCCGACCCUGAUCAUAAUGACAACAGAAAUCACUCAAAUGGCCCUGAUCAAAAGUUUACAUACCCUUGAAUGUUUGGCAUUGUUUCAGACACACAAGGUGACAUACACAGCUUAAAAUGGCAAUUAAAGGUUAAUUUCCCACACCUGUGGCUUUUUAAAUUGCAAUUAGUGUCUGUGUAUAAAUAUUUAAUGAGUUUGUUAGCUUCCACGUGGGUGCCCUGAGCAGGCUAGAUACUGAGCCAUGGGGAGCAGUCUCCUGACCUUAAUAUCAUCGAGCCACUCUGGGGAGAUCUCAAGCGUGCGGUUCAUGCAGGACAACAGAAGACAUUGCAUGACCUGGAGGCAUUUUGCAGAACCCUGCUUGAGCAUACUUACACUCAAGAUAUUCUUUGAACAGAUUCUGAUCCUGCCCCACAUUUUUGAUGAUUGGGGGUCUUUUGAAGAAUCAUUGUCCUAGAUGGCAACUAUGUAAGACAUAAAUAAUGGAAUGUUUCCUUUUUUUAUUUUUUUUUAUAUUCUUUGUUAAAAUUUUCUUUACAAAGAUAUAUCACACAUACAUACAAUCUCAUUUAUCAGACAAAAAUAAAUAAAUUAAUUCAAAGCAUCCAUUCCCAGUAGGGGUAUCCUAUCUCAUACCCUAAAUUUGUUACUUAUGUUAAUCCAAAGCAUCUAUGGAAUUUAUCCAUUUCUCCCAUUGGUCAAAAUCUCUAAAAAUGCCCUUAAUUUUGCUCAUUCCUCUCUCCAUUAUUAAUUGAAACUUUAUCUGAGAUAUAAAGUGAGAAGUAUUAAAGGGUUGGUCUUUCUUCCAGUUCCUAGCAAUAAUUAUCAGUGGCAAACCGCUUUAAGCUGUCUCUUAGUCAAAUUAGGCCAAUUAAUAUGUAACAGCAUAACCUCUAGUUUGUAUAUAAACCAAAUAUCACAUAACACUCUCAAAUAACAAAAGAUCUCUCGUAUAUCGAAGUGUUUGUGUCUAUUAUUGCUCAUCAAAUGCUUAAUGCUUCCAGUUAGUUUAAGAGAUGUUGUCAGGAUCCUAUCCUGACAACCAAGUCAUUAUUUUGUUUAUUUCAUGCAAUACCUGUUUCUCGCCUCUAGUGACCUCCCUAGCCACUAGUCUCCUCAGUCACUCUCACCUGAAUAUCAUGAGAUUCCAAGCUGCUAUAAAAGGCCACACCCGACAAACCAAGGGGCCUUUACAUUGAGAGAGAAGUUGUGUUCUGCUCUGGGCUCUUACUGAGAUUUGUUUAUAUCUGACACUGAUAAAGAUCUGUUUCUGACUCAACUGUAUCUUGACAACCUGCCUACAACCAUCCUGAUUCAUCCCAUCUUAAUUCAUCCAAUACAAACCUGCUUUAUUUCUAAACUAGACUUUGGUUUCAUAUGGAUUUCCUCCCAACCUGCCUGGAUAUUACUGACAUUCUUAUCAUUUUGCAAGUAUCCUCAUCCACCCUGAAUCUACAGUUCUGUUUUCCAACCAAAGAGGCGGAUCACCUCAAUUGUUACUUUAACCUGUUUUACUUUAUCCUUUAUAUUCCUGUUUAGUUUUAACUAAUUGUUUUCCUAUUUCCUGUAUUCCUCUUUUGGGGCAUAUUGCCCAAAUGUCUAUUUUCUUACUCAUUUGUUAUUCUGUUGCUAGGUUCUGUUUUCGCCCUUUAUCUUUAUUAUUCCUUUUCUCUGAUAAUCCUGUUAUUCAUAUUGUUUCCUUUGUCUGAACCAUGCAUAAUAUUUCAAAUAAACUGCCUGAAGUAAACCCCGGCAUAAGUCUCCUGAUCAGAACCAUAAUAGAUGUUUUCAAUUUCCAUUUCAAUAACAUCAAUUUCUUGGAAGUCAAAUAUUUUAUCGUUCACUUUUAAUCUUUCCCCCCCCCCCAAGUUGUGAUAAUCUGUUUUAAUAUAAAAGAAGAAUAUUUAAUCGCUUUGGAAUAGCAGAUGAGUCUAGAAAGAUUAUUAAUGUUACUAAUCUCAGACUCUUGUCUAUACCAGGCUUCGGAUUUUGAUUGUUCCUUAUACAUUAAGGAACAAUCCUUAUACAUUCCUUAUACAUUAAAGCUACAUGUAAAACCAUCCCAACAAUGCAGGAUCAAAGACCUAUAAAAGUAUGUCACCUGCAAAUCCCUCAACCAUUUUUUUAUUUUUUUUAAUCUCACGGCCAAUAUUUCAGUUGUCAGAAUAUAUAAAAUUGGGGACAGGGGACAACCCUGUCUCAUCCCAUUCUUUAACUCAAACCAAGAAGAACACAUGUUGGGCCCAAUGGUUUUGGCUGUAGGAGCAUGGUAUAAAGAUAUCAUUGCCUUUUGUACCCAUCCUGAGAGACCAAAGGCUCCCAGCACUUUCCUCAUGAAGCCCCAGCAUCAAGAGACUCGCCAUUCUUUCUGGGACAAAGACGAUCUGGUCUGAGUGUAUCAGAUUUGGUAGAACAGUUUUGAUUCUCUCUGCAAUAAAAGAGGCAAACAGCUUCACAUCUACAUUAAUGAGAGAAAUGGGGCGGUAACUUUUUACGUCGAAUGGGUAGUAUAUUUGCCUUGAGCAUUUAUUUUGGGAACCUAUCAUUAUAUACAGCACAAUUAAAGGUGUAAGCUAUGUGUUCUAUGAUAUGUUUCAUAGUUUUAAAAAAGCCAUGACUUAGUCCAUCUGGUCCCAGAGGUUUCAGAUGGGUUAAUUUAUCAAUUGCUUUAGAUACUUCUUGUCACGUUCUGUUCCUCGCUGCGGAUCAUCCUGCAUUGGCUUCUGGUAUCCAGUACUCUUUUUGCUGUCCUUGCUUGGUUUUUCUGGUUUUCUGGUCUAUGUCUGGUUUUCGUUAUUGCUGGGUUUCUGAGUUCAUUCUUAUAUUCUGUCUCUGGAUUUCCUAGUCUCUUGGAUUCACUUAAAUGUUUGUUUUAUGUUGCCACACCCACUUGUUUCCACUUUCCUUUUGUUUCAGCUUAGACCUGCAGCAGUAUUUCAUCUCUCUGCCCUUUCUUGCAGGUAAGUGCUAUUGUGGUAUAGUGUGGUUAUUUUAGUGUACAUUAGGCAGUGUAGGACCUGCCAGAUAUGGGGUACAUUGGCGUUGUUGGCAGGCUUAUGCAAUGUAUGAUCAUAUAAUGUAAUUAAAUCCCCAUGCUUUUCAUAAUUAGUGCUUAGCUAUGUUUCCUCUUGUUUUACCUUGUAUCUCUUGUCUUGUAAUUCCAGUUCAUGUACAGUCCUGUCCAGUCAUGCCCAUGUUAUGUUCUUGUUUUCCUCAUGUCUUGUGUACAUGUUCUAGGUUCUGCUUUCUGUCCUGCUCUGGUUCUGGGUUCUCCUAGUUUUGUCUUGUUUUCUUGUAUGGUGCCUUGCUCUCCUAGUUCUGUCUUGAUUCAGUACUGGAUACAUCCCUGUUGCAGAGCCUCCCUAUUCAGUUCCUGGGAGGUCUGCUUAAUUAUCUGCUCCUAGUUCCUGGGAUCCGCAUAAGCUGAAUCAGGGUUCUGGUAUGUGGCUGCACAAACGCUGGUGCUCAACACCAGGGGGCGUGCGGUUGCCCUGCACCAGACCCUGCUAAUCCACCUCCACACUGUGACUCCUACUCUCAACAUCAGGCAUAAUGGGUCCCGGUCCACGCACCGCCGCCCGGACAGUGUCUGGGUCCCAGGCACCGGACCGCCACCCGUGACACUUCUUUAGUAAUUUCUUUAAGUAUAGUCCUGAUCAGCCGAGUUCUUUGGUAGAUUCACAUAUGAGAUGUAAUUAUCUAUAUCUACUUCUUGAUUAUUCUCUGGUAAAUUAUAUAGUUUCUUAUAAAACUGGCUGAAGUCUUCUCCUAUUUUCACUGGGGAGAUGUAAGUCUCCUCCUCUUGAGCUAUUUUCUGAAUGCUAUAUAUUUUAUUUUUAUUUUUUGAUUGGUCAAAAUUUUAUCAGUUAUAUGCAUAAUAAUAUUAAAUUUUUAACUUGAGCAUAUUGUUUUGUAUUCUUUCCAUAGUUUUAAUCUUUAUUUUAUUUUUAAUCUCUAUUAAUCUAAAUUGGUUUUGUUUACUAGGAUUUAGCUGAAUAUUUAAUUUUGGGAAGCAGGGUCCUGAUCCCCUUUUUAUUAUUUUUAUUAUUUGUAAUCUUCAUUCAUUUAAUGCAGUGACCCCUACUUACUGCUUUAUAUGUACACCAAAUUGUGGUAUCAUUAUCAGUGGAUUGGUUCUCCUUGAAAAAGUAGGUAGUAAUUUUUUUCUAGGUACUCUCUAUCUAGUUUAUUUGAUAGAAUUGAUUCAUCUAAUUUCCAAGUUGUCGUGGGAUGGUACUUUUUGAUGUCUUUAAGUUCCAUUAUAACGGCAUCAUGAUCUGACCAUAUCAUUGGUCUGAUCUGAAUUUUAUGUACCCUCUCUAAUAGAUUUUGAUCCCCUAAAAAUAGGUCUAUUCUCGAUUGAGAGUUGUGAGACCAAGAGUAAAAGGAGUAUACUCUUGAAUAGGGAUUUCGUACCCGCUAUAAUUCAUGGAAUAUUUCACCAUUUUUACUUUACGUAUAAGCCUGAUGGAUUGCAUAGAUUUAAGAGUUUCUAUCCUAGUAAUGUACCACCCUGUAUCAGAGGGUAUAUUUUAGAUUUGUAAAAAUAAGCACUUCCCUAUGGGUGUUCUGAGCUGUCGAUCUUCACAGCAUUUUGUUUGUGCAUCUGUUUUAAGCACUCUAAGGUUUUAUACCAGUAAUAAAAAGGAGUGAUGUUUUGUGCCUUCUAGUGACCUUACUUUAACCCUUAUUUUAUUUGAUUUAUAUUAAACUAUUGAAGACUGUUUUACAACCAACAAUUCAGCAGAGCAUUAAAGGUAAUGUUAUUCCAUAGCCACAGAUUAUGCUGAAAAAUGGAAAUCCAGACACCCUAUAAAGAGAGAUCUCUUUCCUCUUUGCAGGAUUUUUUUUCUGUCUUGGUUAAUAGUAAACUUAGUGGUUUAUAUUUACAGCCACUAAUUGGUUAAAAUCAAGUUAUGUUUUAUAAUUGUCUAUGAAAAUAUGUGUGUCCAUUAUACAAGUCAAUGCUAAUUUAUAUAUUGAUAGACAUUAUUUGAUAUGCAUACAUAGGCUAGAAAAGCUUAGCCUUAAAUCAUAGGUUUAUUACUUCAUAAAAAUAAAAGGAAAGGCGAAACAUAAAGGAAAAAGAGAAGAUGGGGGAGUAUAAAGAGAAAAAAAAUAUUUUUAUUACCUUUUUGUAUAAAUUCUAUAGAGAAUUUUUUUUAAAAAUGUUGUAUUUAUAUGUAUCCUAGGCAUUCAUGAGCUCCUACAGCUUUUCAUUCUACCAUCUCUGCUGGAAAGCAAUUCCAUAAAACUGGUAACAUUAUUAUUUUUUAUUAUUUUUCCCUUAUAGCAUUUCACAACCUUUAAAGGAAUGAAGUUCAAAGGGCCAAUCUAUAGCUUAUAUAUUUAAUUUUAAAAGUUAAACCAAUUUUCUUUGUUCAAAAUAUUCAAAUGAAUCACUCCCUUUGUCUUUUUAAAAUAGUCUAUUCUAACAUAGGUUGGAAUACAAGCAUUCCCAAAUGGCCAUUGGGCAAAUGUCUAGUGGUCCCACAUGGCCAUGGGCAGAAGGCGAUAGGGGAGAUCAGAGGACCUCUUCUGCUGACCCGUGCAGGGCCAGCUCUUUGCAAGCACCAGCCUUUCUGUAUGCCUUAAUCUGCUGGUGUGAAGCUUAUUGCAGCUGAGGAAAGGAGAGGGUAGAGAAGGAUUUGGGGCUCUGGCCUGCAGCUCCACUGGAAUCGUCCUCCCGCCAGCCCGGUGCGUUUCCACAGUUACCAUGGCAACGCUCUGACAUGGCCAAAUCUCUCAACAGUGAGCUUUACUCAGAGGAGCUGGAGGCUAGGUUUCACUCACCACUGGAUAUUGUAGUGUCCCCCCCUCCUUAGGUAAAGGUAAGAAGGGAGGGGGGAUAUAAAAUUUGAUUAUUUUUAAUAAAAUAAUGAAGGAAAAAUGCACAUUUGCUCCCACUUCAUGUCCACACACGAUAUAGGUCCUAUACCUCCUAGCACUUUCCAACAUUUCACCCCUCACACACCCACUACACUGCAUCCCUCACACACUGCCCUUCUCAUACACACAUAUUGCAACCCUCACACACUGAAUCCCCUAUGGACACACUGGAUUCCCUGUGUGCAAAUACAUUCUCUACAGCCCCUACACACACAUCACACUACACCCCUUAUACACACACACUCUGUAUUUACACAAAAAAAAAAAAAAAAAUCUACUCACUCGACACACACUAUCCCACAAGCAGCAUCCAAACACAUGCACAAUACACAUUUCUGGCCCUUUUGUCUAUGGUAUCCCACUUAUGAAAACACCACAAACAAGUUACUAACAAAUUUCCUUAUGCUGCACAGAACUAACAAAGGGCCUUUUUCUUAUGCAAGAGCUCUUUAGCAGAGCUCUGCGCAAGGACUGCCCUGGAAGAGCCUUGUACCGACAUUGGGAUGAGGGGGUGCAUGUUUCUCACUGGUGAUGACAAAAUACCCCUUUCUUGGCCCUGAACCCUUCUCACUUGGGCCACUGUGAUUAAAAAAAAAAGCCCUGGACAAAUUUUUAUUCCCAGUCUGGCCCUGCUUAUAAAUCAAUGUCAUGUCAGGCCCCUUACCCAUUUGCCACUUGCGGCGGCUUCCGGUGCCAUGAAUCCCACUGACCUUUUUUUCUGACGCUGCACGCUUGUGUGCAGCAUGCUAAAAUAUGUGCUCAAGCCAGCCACCCAACACGGCGCAUAAUGAUGACCUCAGGGGUCAAAGUGGAAGGGUCAAAUAUCUUUUACGUCUUGUGGUUAAUUCCAAAAGGAAAUUAACCAAUCAGAGAUUAAUCAUACCUUUUUAAGCUUGCCAAUGUUUAAGCUCGCAAUCCUUUGUUGCCCUGUUGUGGUCUUUUGAUAGCCCAAAAGCGCAUUUUGCUCUGUCUGAAUGUUUACCAAAUUUGGGCCUUGUCUCAUUGUUUAUCCUGUUUUCUCUGAACCUUGACCUCUGCUUGUUCCAUCGAUAUUUUAUUUAUUUAUUUUUUCCGUAUCUCUGUACUCCUCUGACUAUGGCUUGUACUCUGACCACUUUCUAUUUGCAUAGCCAGGCCACUCUAAGUACCGGUAUUGCAAUUCCUUCCCUUGUGAUCUGUCAAUGUGUUUGGUUCCGGAGACCAUGACAUUACAACAGGGCCACUAUGAAACCUGCUGACAUCACAGCAGUUGGCUAAUCAAGACUCCAGGAUGGAUAGUCUUGAUUAUCAUAUGGACAAGUUUGCCCAAGCAUUACAGACCAUCUUACUAUACACUGCCCACUUGCUAACUCUAGCACAAGAAUCUGCUGCUGCUCCCCCAAAGUUCCCAUUCCUGAACCAGUACCAGUUGCUCCAGCACAUACUGUUCACAUGACACCCCCUCAGCGUUAUAGUGUGGACCCUAUGUUAUGGCAUGGGGUGUUUUUUUUUUAUUAUUCUUUUUGCAAAUUUUACACAUGUAACAUCACAGACAAAAACAGUUCAGAAUUAGACAUAGACUUUGAUUUACAAUGGAAGGAUAUAGGAACUGUUGAGCAAACUUCACACACAAAAAACACAAAUAUCACAAUUUAAAAGGACUGAGCAGAUUAGGUGGGCCUAAACUAUAAUAAUUAGGUUACUUCAUGGGUUUUUUAACUAGAUUGACAUUCGUAUAGUUAUGAACCCACGUUCGUUCCCUAACAAUAGGUGGAAUUUUUGAUUAACCACCUAUCGGGUAGGGCCUUGGCAUGGGCCAAUCCCAUCUGAGAAUCUGGCUCCUAUAUGUCCUAUGCUAAUCAGACAUGUGCAUCAGUGAAAUUUUCGUUUCGUACAAAAUAUACAUUGAAUUCGUCCAUAAACCAUUAGUUUUAAUAAGUAUUGAUAAAAGGGAAGUUAAAUCCUCCCGCAUGCCGCAAGUAGGGGCAUGUCGCUUAACCAGUGAGCAGCCAGUGGCUGCUGGCUUUCAUUUAAAACUGCUAGUGACUGAGCAGCUAUUGCUGCCCAGUCGCUAGUGCAAUAAGGAGGAACCCAAAAAACUAAAGGGGGGGAGAUUGUGCCCCCACCUCUGACCUAAUGUCCGCCCCAUUAUUUAUUUAUUUAUUUAUUUAUUUAUUUAGGGUCCCCACCCGCUGCUCAUGGGUGGGGACCAGGGGAAAAAUUAGAGUCACGGGUGGAGGCGCGGGGGGCUCUAUGUCCCCACCAUUUUAGUAGUAGUUUUAAAUGACAGCGUGCAGCCACUAGCUACUCGCUGUUUAGGCAACAUGCCCGCGAAUAGGAGCAUGCGGGAAGAUUUAACCUCCCUUUUAACAAUAUGGGGAUCAUAGUGAUCCCAAUAUUGAUGUAUAUUUAGGUUUAUGAGCCAGUGGCUGCCCGCUGUCAUUUAAAACUGGAUAUAAAUGUAUCUAAUAUAGAAGUGUUAGAGCUAUGGUAAGAGUACAUGUAAAAAGUAGCUAUUUAGAUCUAAGUAGCUCCUUUUUCAUAUUGCAACAUUGUUAUAGUUUUUUAUAUAACUUUUGGUUACACGUACUUAUUGUAGCUCUCUAUCACUUCUAUAUAAAAUACUGAUUUUUAUAUUAAAGGACCACUCUAGGCACCCAGACCACUUCAGCUUAAUGAAGUGGUCUGGGUGCCAGGUCCCUCUUAGAUUAACCCCUUUUUUUAUAAACCUAGCAGUUUCAGAGAAAUUGCUAUGUUAAUAAAUGGGUUAAUCCAGCCUCCAAAUCCUCUAGUGGCUGUCUCAUUAAUAGCCGCUAGAGGCGCUUGCGUGCUUCUCACUGUGAAAAUCACAGUGAGAACACGCAAGCGUCCAUAGGAAAUCAUUGUAAAUGGUAAGAGUACAUGUAAAAAGUAGCUCUUUAGAUCUAAGUAGCUCCUUUUUUCAUAUUGCAACAUUGUUAUAGUUUUUGAUAUAACUUUAGGUUACACGUACUUAUUGUAGCUCUCUAUCACUUCUAUAUAAAAUACAGUUGACGUCAGCAGAGGAGAAGCCUGACUCCCUGCCGAGCAACACUGGUGCAGGAACCAGGUAAGUGAUUGAAAAUGUUUUCUCAACUCUUUCAUCGAUGAGUGGCUCGGGGGGGCAUAGGGACACGUCGGUGUUAGGAAUACAUCUUUGUAUCUUUCUAACACUAAAGUGUUCCGUUACGCUAACAACAAGCAAAUAAUUAAAAUCUUUAUUAUCUUUAUUGAACAAAUCCAAUCUAAAUGUGCAAAAUAAUGUAUGUUUGGAAAGCAGCGACCUUCUCCAUGGUGUCUUGCCAUGGACACCAUGCCUGUUCAGUUAUCCAUAUAGUAGACUCAUGAAUAGAGAUGUUAGCCAGUUUCACUGAUAUCUUCACAUCUUUAGCUGUCACUAUAGGGUUCAUUAUUUAGCUCAUUGAGAAUUGUGCUGUGUGCCCUUUGAGCCACCUUGGCUGGACGGCCACUUUUAGGGAGCCACAGUACUACACAACUUGUCUAACAGUGGACAGAUAACUAUCUUAGCUCUAUGAGAUAACUUGAUAGCCCUUUACAGCUUUAUGCAACUCAACAAUUCUUGAUCACAGGUCUUGUGAGAGCUCUUUUUUGAAUAGGAUGCGUCACAUUAAACUGGCACUGUCAUCGCCAAAAUGUUUUGUUUUUUUUUAAACUGUACUCUGCGUGGUUUUGCUCAAAAUGACAACGCAGGUGCUAACAAACUGUUUUUUUCAAUAUUUUCUUGCAAAGUAAGCAUUGUGCUUGAGUUAAAUUUUUAUUUCUGGCACUUGCGAAUCCAAAUGAUAAAUAGCUGUCAUUAUAUUUUCUUUUCUUUGUUUGAGAAGAAGAUUGGGUAGCAUUGUGUGCUUUUCUUUUUAACUUUGACUUGUCACUUGUCUCUGCUAUUUGAGGAACAGUAGGUACAACUAUUUGGGAUCUGUCUUAUUGUAUCUUUUUUCUCAGUUUCUAUAAGUGACGAAUAGUUAAAAGUAGUAAUAUUUUUUCUCUUGAUAGUUCUUUGUUUUAACCUGAUGACCAAAUUCAUGGUUGUUGGUGGGUAACAUGAAAAAAACAAAACAAAAAAAACCCACUUCUCUAACCUUAAAAAAAAUAAUUCAGGUUUCUUAUAAAGCUCUCACAAAGAACUUAAUGUAAGCAGGAUUGUUAGUCAGUCUUGGAGCAAAAAGAUUAGCACAUUAAAACAGAUCUGACUGAAAAUGAAGUUUUAUAAAGACCUUAACUAUAAGCAGGAUUUUGAGAAAGUCUUGGAGUGUAAAAAAACACUUUAGUGCAGAUUGCUCUACCAGACUGCAAAAUAUGCUGUUUUUAUAAAGUACAGUAUUUCUGACAUGUACUACUGAUUUUCUCUGUCACUCAUAUUUUUACUAUGUUUAAACCAGGCCAUGGUUGCAUCUUGCAGCCGCUUAUUAGAUUCCCACAGGACCAAUUCCCAUUGUAUUAGGGUGCAAUUGCCAUGGCACGAAUAGGAUUGGAAUUUCAUUAAUUCAAAUGAAAUUCCAAUCUGAGCAAAAAGUACCGAAUGUUGUCCUAACACACAAAUUAACAAACUAUGCUCAUUCGUUAGUUUUACCAGCGCCCUGUCUAAAUGACAUUCAGGAAUAUUGAAAGAAGGCAUCGUGAGAUCAUGGAGGAGAGGUGAGUAUUGUGGGAAAAUUUCUUUGACCACAGGAAAUUGAUCAGGCUUAAGCUCCUCCUUGUGUCAAAGCUAGUCAAUGGUAGAUAAAAUACAUAAGACAAAGUAGUCUCUACUUUGUCUUAUGUUUUAAAGAAAACUAGAUCUGAAAGGAAGAAAAGAAGAACAGAUUCUGAGAGAGGAAAGCGAUUGGGGAAAGGUAAGUUUGGCAUGACAGUGCUGCUUUAAGAGAUAUUUUAUGUAAAUAGCAAACUGAAAUGUUUGAGUACUUUUUAAAAGUCAAAGUAGCUCUAAAUUUAGAGGAAUGAGGACAAAAUGCCCUAUCCAAAUACAUUUCUUAUGAGGUUUAAACAAACACUUUAAUAUGAUUGAUAAAACAUAACAUUUAAUCCAAAAAAAAAAAAAAAAAAAAAAAAAAAAAAAAAAAAAGAAAUAAGAUAAGUGCAAAAUACACUCCAAUUCAUAGGUAUCUGGAACCAGAUAAUAGCAUAUGUGUAUGUAGACUGGCCAGUUUUACAUAAGCAUACUCCUACUAUUGGGUAACUUUUAAACACUUAUAGUGAAAUUAAUAGUGAAACCUCUUAAAAGUAACUGAAUAUCUGCAAUCUGCAAAUGUAGUGAUUUCCUGAGAAUCAUAUCAAGUGAAAUGAUUGUAUAAAUUUAUCAGCAGAGGUUUAUAACUAGUGGGACUACAUCCAAAGGGAAGAUAUGCUUCCUACUAAAGUGUCUUUCUUAUGUACCCAAUAAAAAAAUUGCGAUCUGGUUAAGAAUUAGAGGUAGAGAAAUGCUAAUAUAAUAGCUUUUUAAUCAUGGAGCUUAAGUAUCACUAGUCUAAACUGUGUUUUCGUGGGCACCUAAUCUUUGAGGUAAACUAACUAGCUCUAUCUUAGUUUGUGUGGCAGAGCUCCAAUACAGUCUGUAGAGACAGACACCAGCGCUGUAUCUAGUGCAAAGCUGACAAGGCAUUUUCCUUGGGUUGCACUUUCAGGGAAGGCAGAUGCUUUGCCAGCCUAUUUUCCUGCAGGGCCCAAAAACAGGCUGGCUGGCCACCUUAGGGCCCCCAAAGCUGGCAUGCGCUGAUGUUGUAGGUGGGCAGCAAGGGAGCACUCUUCCCUUAGCUCUUCCUGCUCAGCGCCUUCGCACAACCCGCAGUGAUGCCAAAGCUGGAAUAUGAUGUAAUUCUGGCCCCGGCAUCACUAAGAGGGGUGCGAGGGAGCUAAGCAGGAGGAUCAGAGCUCCCUCGCCCCCCGCCUCCACCGUUCACCUGCCUGCCUGCCUGUGACUGCCGAGCCAGCCCCAAUGGACCACAGGGAAGAAUCUAAAAGUGUUAGUGUGUGACUGUCAAUGUGUGUCUGUUAGUGGGUGUGUUAGUGUGUGUCUGUUAGUUAGCAUGUGUGUGCAUCUGUUAGUGAGAGUGUAUGUCUGUUAGUGAGAGUAUGUGUGUGUUUAUCACUGAGAGUGUAUAUGUGUUUGUCAGUGGAUGUGUAUGUCUAUGAGUAUGGGUCUGUCAGCUAGUGUAUGUGUGCCUGCCAGUGAGUAUAUGUGUCUCAGUGUGUGUGCGUCUGCCAGUGAGUGUGUAUGUGUCUGUUGGUGAUUGCAUGUCUGUCAGUGUAUAUAUGUGUCUGUCGGUGAAUGUGAGCGUGUGUAACUGUGAAUAAGUGUGUAUGUCUGUGAAUGAGUAGUUUCAGUGAAAGUGUGUGUUGGUUAAACAGUGUGUGACAAUGACAGUGUAUCUGUAAGUGAGUGUAUGUCAGUGCAUGUAUCCAUAAGGGGGGGAGGGAGGGUCUGUCACGAAAAUAAAAUGGAAGUGGGGGGGAGAGGGUGUAUGAGAUUUGUCAUGCCUAGGGCAGCAGAAUAUCAGAAUACACCACUGACAGACACCGCAAAACUGCCCAGAAAUCCAAUACAACAGAGAACAAGGGGGCACUAAAAGGUACUGAUGGUGAGUAUUAUUGGAGGGUAAAAAAGUGCAAUGUUUCAAAACUGUAGGAUCUUAAUAAUGCAUAAAAAAUGCAAAUGUUGCAUAGCUGCAUGGGGCUCAAGCGUAGGACCCAACUGCAUGAGGACAGGGGAGGUACCGCUACAGUACCAACCCCUAAAGACCAGCCCACUGAGCGGGCAGGACCAGGCUUGGAGCGGAAGUGUGAAUGAAAUGCACGAAAAAGGCGAGGAGUGUGAAUAUUAUACGCAGGAACCCAACUACACUUCUCAGGACCAUACCCCUUUCUAUGGAUAAAAUAUAGGAGAUUGGAAUCAAGCACAGCUGCCACCUCAUACUCCUCUUGGCCCUCAACAGAGACAAGAGGAGGAGGAGGAGAAGAAGAAGGAUUAAUGUACUUGUUACAAAGAAGCAGUUUCAACAAGGAGGUGUGGAAAACAUUAGGUACACACAUGUUCCUAGGAAGAUUUGGGGCAUAUGAAACGGGAUUGAUUUUCCGCAAAAUACGAAAAGGACUGAUAAAUCUGGAGGUCUGUUUCAUAGAGGGCACCCGGGGACGGAUAUUACGGGUAAAAAGCCACAGCUUAUCCCCCACAACAUAAGAGGGAGUUGCCUUACAAUGCCUAUCAGCCUGAACCUUCUGCCAAACCACAGAUUCCACUAAGGAACGCUGUACCUGCUCCAAAGUCCUAUGUAAACCAGCUAAAGUUCAUCCAGAAGCAGCUUUUCCUGCAGCGAAACCUACAAUACCUCUGUUGACCAAGGCUUGAAUAUUCCAGUAGUAUUGUUAAUAAGCAGGGAAACUGGGAGAAGCAGUCUAUUUAGAGGCAAGUGAGGGGACUCUGAUGUCACACCCAAAACCAGUCCCCUAAGCGGUCUUAGGUGCGGGAGUCUUCCAGAUGAGUAGGGCACUCACUUCGCAUAUGGCAUAUUUUAGUUCCUCCUAAAUAACUUUUCUGCUUCUGAAAGUUUCGUAACCCCUAAUUGCAUGGGUUCUGCCUCUGGCAUGGUAGAUUCCUCAGGACUAACAGUGGGCAAAUUAGAAAUAGCAAUGCGUCUAUUUCUGGUAUACUGUCUUUCCCUAAUUUUAUUAAAAUUAUCCAAAGCAACAGGAAGUUCUCUAGCAGCUACCUCAUCCUAAAUACUAUCUGACAAUCCUUCUAUUAAGACUGAGACAAGUCCGCUGUUAGUCCAAUCUACCUGAGAAACCAAAGUACGGAACUGAAUAACGUAUUCAACAACAGAUCUGGAGCCUUGUUUAAUCCUCAUUAAUGCUUUAGAUGCAUUUUGACCUUGGAAGUGGUAUCAAAGGUCCUGCAGAAUGCUGUCAGAAAACCCUGGUAAUUAUUAGCCAAAUGACCAUUUGCUUUGCAUAUAGAGUUGGCCCACUCGAGUGCUUUAUCAACAAGCUGAUGCAUGAGGAACCCCACUUUUGCUCUAUCAGUGGGAAAGGAUCGG
rnacentral:lncRNA from 1 species